GGAAAUAUCCGUAGCGGCCAUCUUGGUGGUUCAAAAAUAACAUAUAUAUAAGAUACGAUAUAUGUAACGCAAAUCUAUUUUCACAUCAUACGGCGUAAUUAUAACCAAAGAAUUUUGAGGUUGUGUGUGUAUCACGUAUUUUGUAAUAAAAGUGCUUGCAAUAAAGUUGUUUAUAUCUGUAAUAAAGUGCUUUGCAAUAAUAAAUUCACAUAAUAAUUCAUGCAAUAUGUCUGAUUGUUAUGCAAAAGACUGCAGGAGCAGAAGACAUGUAACACGAAAAAAUAAAACACAAUUGAGAUGGAAAUAUUUACAUGGCAAACUAAUUACAUUUCACAAAAAAUGCAUUUAUUUGCUCAUUACAUUUUGAAGAAAGUGAUAUGGACAAAACAUCACUUAGUUGUAUUAGAAUUAGAUCUGGUGCUGUCCCAUUUAAUAAUAUGAAUAUGAGAAAUGACGAGUCUCCUGUGAAAAAAAAUAUUGGACGAGC